CGCCCGUUCGCGCUGCCAGCAGCUUCCGCCUGCUACGGUCCUGGCAAGCACCUCGGGAUCCCAUUCCUUCACAGGGACCCUAGCCAGGCAAGCGCGCGCCUCACUGUACCGGAGAGCUCCAAGCACGCGCUUGGUCUGGGGCCCGGACGCUACAUCUGGGAAGGGGUGGGUGGCUGGGUAGAUAGGCGAGGAAGGAUCGUCUCUACCCUCUCUCAAGUAGCUGAGGCCUCCGAAACCUUCCCUAGCUGGAUUUGGGGACAGAGGAGCGCUGUUAAAGCUGAUACAUUCCUGUGGGUCAACUAUGCAACUAACUCAGAUUUUGAGCAAACAAAGCUCUCAAGUUGGUGAUCCUCAGGAGUCUCUGCAUUAGUUGGACAGCUCUUCUGGAAUUAUCUUCUAAGUCAACUGUGGGUUGGGUAGGUGGCUCUGCUGAUUUUUCGCUGGACUUCCACAUUUGGGACGAGUUGGCUGUCAUCAGCUCUAGAAAGGGUGUGGCCGUUUUACAUUGGCUGUUUUCCUCACAUUCCUCAAGCAGACGGAGUCUUGCUCUGUCGCCAGGCUGGAGUGCAGUGACACGAUCUCAGCUCACUGCAACCUCCACCUCCCAGGUUCAAGCGAUUCUCCUGCCUCAGCCUCCCAAGUAGCUGGAACUACAGGCACGCACCACAACACCCAGCUAAUUUUUGUAUUUUCAGUAGAGACAGGGUUUCACCAUGUUGGCCAGGAUGGUCUUGAUCUCUUGACCUCGUGAUCUGCCCGCCUCGGCCUCCCAAAGUUCUGGGAUUACAGACGUGAGCCACCAUGCCCGGCAUAUAUGAAGUUUUAAAAAAUCAGAAUACAGAACAAAAUUUAUUGGGAGAUGAGCUUCUUUCUUUCUCUCUUCAACACCAUCGCCACAUCACCUCCACAUAUACACACACUGAAAAGAUACUGAAAAGACAUAAUAACCAUGGGAAAUGGAGAUUACUGGAUUGUUAAAUGUUCUUUUUGCCUGUCUUUAUUCUCUAACUUUGCUAUAAUGAACAGAAAUUAUUUUUUGAUAAGCAAAAAAUAUUUUAAAUUUAAACAUGUAAAGUAACUUAGUAGUUGUCUUUUCAAAAUAUGUAAGAAUCAUUAGUUCACUAGUUGGUUAAAUAUGUUUUUAAUCCCAACAUCUUGAUAAUUGUCGCAAAAUUGAGGGAACAUUUUUUGAACUCUAAAAUGCUAUAGAAUUGACAGAUCAUUUUUCAGUUCAUAAGUUAUUACUUAUAAUCAGUUUUUUUAUUGUUACUAUGGCAAUAUUUUAUACACAAGAAUGGCUGAGGUUAGGAAUUUGUGCCCUGAAAAUUGUAUCAACAUAUCAAAUAUGAAGUAAAUAACAAUUUCUUGCUUUAAAUAUAACAAAGAUGUGGGAAGAAGUGGUAGGCAAGAGUCUCUGUGUUACCAUGGGAACGAUUAAGUUUUCCAAGGUGCAAACCAGCCUCAUUCCAGCUUCAGGGUCAAUGACUUACUAGCUCAGAGGGAAAUGUAUAAAUAUUUAAGUACAUACCUACUAUCUGUACAGAGUGACUCUCAUUACCCAGAGAACUGCUGUAAAAUAUUAUUUAUUCACAGAUUACACAAAACCAAUCUAAAUUAGUACUUUUAUACAUUCUAUUUGGGGAGUACUUAAGGUGUAUGAGCAAACAAAUUGUUAUCCAGGUCACUCCAGAACUGUUGUAUACAGAUUAAGAAUUGAUGUUGGAUACUAAUUAAAAUCAUUAAAGCAAAAUCAAAAAACACUUUGGCUAGCAUUUCAAUUAUUUUUUAAACAGGAUUUCUUAAAACAAUCCCCAAAGUAGUCUUGUAAUUUGUUCAUUUUAAGGAUCUAUGUUACUCUGAGGCCAAUCAAGGGGGCUAACAGUCUAGUUGGGGAGCCAAGAUAGCCAUUCAUCAAUUCAUUCAUUCAUUCAGUAAAAUGUAUUGAGAACCUACUAUGUACCAAGCAAUGUGCUGGGCACUAAGCAUUGAAGAAUACCUGAAACAUGGCACCUGACCUCAAAAAGCUUAAAAUUAGGAGACAUAGACAUGUAAGUAAAUAACUGCUAUAGGCAAAUCUCAGCAACUGCCACACCUGCUUGCUCCUUUAGCAGAACUUCUCUGAUUGGCCAUAUUCUGCACAUAGUGACCAACUCACCUCUUUUCCCUAUCUGCUUUCCUUGCUAUAGCUGAGAAAAAAGCUGUGGCCCAAAAGUUUCUCCCCUGAGAGGGACAGGAUCAGAUUGUCUUUUCAAGAGUUCCCAUGUGCAAUACAGAGCUGAAGUUGAAGCUGAAAGGAUUCAUAGAGAAAGGCCAGUAUAAAUCUUCAGCAUACCAAAGUUAUGAGAAAGGAGAAAGCUUGCAAUGCAUGUAUAGAGGAGGUGCUGAGGAGUUGGUGGUAGCAGCAGACAAGGGAGGAGAAAUGGAUAGAAUCAUGGUUAUUGUCAAGGUGGAGGAUCCGUGAACUGCAACUGAAGAGGGCUAGUGACAUGACCCAGUUCUUAGGGCUGUCUCUAUUCCUGAAUAUUUACUUAAUAUAAGGCAAUUCUUAUAUAGCAUUAGGGUAAAAAAAAAAAAAAAAGGAUUCGAAGUUUCCGAGAGACUUCUGUUUCAGCCAUAACAGAAUAGUGAAUUUACCUUCCCCCAGUAAAUAGCCAUAAAAUUAAAUAAAGUAAAUAAAACCAACUGUUUUCAGACAUUGGACAAUAGAAAGCACAGAACUCUAUGAUCCUUGAGA
rnacentral:lncRNA from 1 species